rnacentral:rRNA from 1 species
CUUGGUCAUUUAGAGGAAGUAAAAGUCGUAACAAGGUCUCCGUAGGUGAACCUGCGGAGGGAUCAUUACAAGCGACCCCGGUCUUACCACCGGGAUGUUCAUAACCCUUUGUUGUCCGACUCUGUUGCCUCCGGGGCGACCCUGCCUUCGGGCGGGGGCUCCGGGUGGACACUUCAAACUCUUGCGUAACUUUGCAGUCUGAGUAAACUUAAUUAAUAAAUUAAAACUUUUAACAACGGAUCUCUUGGUUCUGGCAUCGAUGAAGAACGCAGCGAAAUGCGAUAAGUAAUGUGAAUUGCAGAAUUCAGUGAAUCAUCGAAUCUUUGAACGCACAUUGCGCCCCCUGGUAUUCCGGGGGGCAUGCCUGUUCGAGCGUCAUUUCACCACUCAAGCCUCGCUUGGUAUUGGGCAACGCGGUCCGCCGCGUGCCUCAAAUCGACCGGCUGGGUCUUCUGUCCCCUAAGCGUUGUGGAAACUAUUCGCUAAAGGGUGUUCGGGAGGCUACGCCGUAAAACAACCCCAUUUCUAAGGUUGACCUCGGAUCAGGUAGGGAUACCCGCUGAACUUAAGCAUAUCAAUAAGCGGAGGA